UAGAGUUUGAUCCUGGCUCAGGAUGAACGCUAGCGACAGGCUUAACACAUGCAAGUCGAGGGGCAGCGGUGGUGAAGGCUUGCCUUCACCAGCCGGCGACCGGCGCACGGGUGAGUAACACGUAUGCAACCUGCCUGCCACAGCCGGAUAAUCGGGAGAAAUUCCGUCUAAUACGGCAUAAUGCAUCGACGGGACAUCCUGUUGGUGCCAAAGGUUAAUUCCGGUGGCGGAUGGGCAUGCGUCGCAUUAGUUAGUUGGCGGUGUAACGGACCACCAAGACGACGAUGCGUAGGGGUUCUGAGAGGAAGGUCCCCCACACUGGUACUGAGACACGGACCAGACUCCUACGGGAGGCAGCAGUGAGGAAUAUUGGUCAAUGGGCGGGAGCCUGAACCAGCCAAGUCGCGUGAGGGAUGACGGCCCUAUGGGUUGUAAACCUCUUUUGCCGGGGAGCAAAGUGCCGCACGUGUGCGGUUUGGAGAGUACCCGGAGAAAAAGCAUCGGCUAACUCCGUGCCAGCAGCCGCGGUAAUACGGAGGAUGCGAGCGUUAUCCGGAUUUAUUGGGUUUAAAGGGUGCGUAGGCGGACGCUUAAGUCAGCGGUAAAAUUGCGGGGCUCAACCUCGUCGAGCCGUUGAAACUGGGUGCCUUGAGUGGGCGAGAAGUACGCGGAAUGCGUGGUGUAGCGGUGAAAUGCAUAGAUAUCACGCAGAACUCCGAUUGCGAAGGCAGCGUACCGGCGCCCAACUGACGCUGAAGCACGAAGGCGUGGGUAUCGAACAGGAUUAGAUACCCUGGUAGUCCACGCAGUAAACGAUGAAUGCUAGUUGUCCGGGGCGAUUGAGUUCUGGGUGACACAGCGAAAGCGUUAAGCAUUCCACCUGGG
rnacentral:rRNA from 1 species